AAUAAGCCGACGAAGCUUCCCUAGGCGCAUAGUGAAGAUUUCCAUAUCAAUACGCAAGAUUAAGUCUCCCUAUAUCGCAGAGAAAGAUUUCCAUAUCAAUAAGAAGAUUAAACAUCCCAACUCGCUGGAUAAAGAUUCGCAUCAAGAACGCAGAAAAACUCCCCACGAAUUCAGAAUUGCAGACUUCAGCGAAUCAUCGAAAAUUUUGAACGCACAUUGCACCAAUUAGAUAUUCCAAAGGACAUGCCUAAUUCCAGCGUCAUUUGUACCCUCAAGCUUUGCUUGGCGUUGGACGUCUUUUGUCUCCAGUUCGCUGGAGACUCGCCUUAAAGUCAUUGGCAGCCGACCUACUGCUUUCGGAGCGCAGCACAAGUCGCGCUCUUCGCCAGCCAAGGUCAGCGUCCAGUAAGCCUUUUUUUCAACCUUUGACCUCGGAUCAGGUAGGGAUACCCGCUGAACUUAAGCAUAUCACUAAGCGGAGAAAUUUCUCUGCUUAUUGUAUGCUUAUCCUCCGUUUCUCA
rnacentral:rRNA from 1 species